rnacentral:lncRNA from 1 species
CCGCAAUUCAACACUACGCUGGACGGACUGUUGGUGCAGUCGAUGCGGCGUGAACGGACACGAAGGAGCGCUCGCCUCAGAAGGGAUGUCACAAUUUCCUGAGACGGAGGCAUCUCUGCACCACAAAGGAGACUGCGGCACUAUGCAGCCUGAACAGCACGACAAAGCAUCUGAUCUGCCUGCUUUGACAAGAUGUGGCUGGGCCUGCAGAAAGAGUGUAAGCACACUACUGUGUUGCUGAUCAGUGCUGGUGCUGAUCUCUACGUCUGAGUUGGCCUCACAACGUCCAGGCGCCACUGUGCUUUGCUUCAUUGACAAGGUGUGGCUGGGCCUGCAGAAAAGCUGUAAGCAGACUGCAGUGUUGCUGAUCAGUGCUGAUCUCCACGUCCGAGUUGGUCCCACAAUAUCCAGGCACCACGGUGCUUUCACAAGAGGCAUACGAGCACUUUGUUUCAAAAACGCCAAGCACCGUGGAUACAGAGGC